rnacentral:rRNA from 1 species
CAAUAGCGUAUAUUAAAGUUGUUGCGGUAAAAAAGCUCGUAGUUGGAUUUCUACCGAAGAUAGCCGGUCGGGUCUUCGACCUUGUAUCUGGUUUUGUCUUUGGUAUCCUCAUAGGGAACGUUUCUGCGCUUUAUUGCGUGGUGCGGUAUCUAUGACUUUUACUUUGAGGAAAUUAGAGUGUUCACGGCAGGCAAACGCCUUGAAUAUAUUAGCAUGGAAUAAUAACAUAGGAUCUUCGUCCUAUUUUGUUGGUUUCUAGGGCUAAGAUAAUGAUUAAUAGGGAUAAUUGGGGGCAUCUGUAUCAACGCGUCAGAGGUGGAAUUCUUGGAUUGCGUUGCGACAAACUACUGCGAAAGCAUUUGCCAAGGAUGUUUUCAUUGA